rnacentral:rRNA from 1 species
UACGGGGGGGGCAAGCGUUGUUCGGGAUUACUGGGCGUAAAGGGCUCGUAGGCGGCCAACUAAGUCAGACGUGAAAUCCCUCGGCUUAACCGGGGAACUGCGUCUGAUACUGGAUGGCUUGAGUGUGGGAGAGGGAUGCGGAAUUCCAGGUGUAGCGGUGAAAUGCGUAGAUAUCUGGAGGAACACCGGUGGCGAAGGCGGCAUCCUGGACUACUACUGACGCUGAGGAGCGAAAGCCAGGGGAGCAAACGG